UGGUGGGCCAGUUUGGCCUUUAUUAAAAAUUAAAGUCUAAUUCUCUCUUUUUACUUUGUCCCACAUUGGAUGUUUAGAAAACCUACCUCCCUUCCCUUCUCCUAUAUAAGAAACUCCAUCCUUUCUCUUUAUUCUCAUCAAGUCAAAGUAUUUCUUUGCGUGUGACGAGUUGUUGUUGAAUUAUUCGACGACCAGUCACUAGUGAAUUUUCCGGUGGGAUUUCCGGGUGAGCUUCCGGCGAGAUUUCUAGACGAGCUUCCGGUGAGAUUUCUAGACGAGCUUCCGGCGGGUUUUCUAUUGACCUCAGCUGACCGCAUCUUCCGUUGUUCAUUUCAGCCUGUGGCUAAGGUGAGACUGACGAGCAUGAGUGAUUGCUAUCGGAUUGGUGCUUUGGGAGUUUUAUUUC